ensembl:lncRNA
GUUUUACAAAGGAAAAGUAUUUGAUGGUGUCUGAGGAAUACAGAGCGCUGGGAUGAAAAUGAGGCUGCAAAGGAAAUGGAAUGAAAAACAGGCUUGUUUGGGUCACCCAGAAGCAAAAACCUAUCACACGCAGUCAUACAAAUAUACCCAAAACCCAGCAGCCACAUCAUACUGAUUCCCGACAACAAAACAAAAUGAAGAUGGAACUUCAGGGGAAUAAGACAAAGGGAAGGAGUGGAAAUGAAGCUGCCAAGGAAAACAGAACUGAUUUUGCAAAGUAUGAUAAUCUAUGAGAUGGACCUCUAAGAAGCUGAAGCAACUCUAUCUCUCAAUUUGGAAAAAUGCCCACUUCCAAGUUCUGGAGCAGAGUCAAGGAGCUAACACCUGGAAAGUGAUUAAAAUUGUGCCUUAUUAUGUUUUUGAAGAAUCUUGCUGACAUUUUUUCUUCAUUCAUUCUCUCUCUCAAAUACAUAUACACACAUACAUAUCUACACAUAUAUGAUAUGUAUAUAUGUAUAAUAUACCUACAUACCUAAAGAAUAUGUAUAGAUAUAUAUGUGCAUAUACAAACAUAUACAAGCAUACCUCAUUUAAUUGCACUUUGCUUUGGUGAGCUUUCCAGAUAUUGCAUAGCUUUAUAAAUUGAAAAUCUGUGGCAACUCUGCACUGAGAAAGUCUAUUAGUGCCAUUAUUCUAAGAGUAUUAGCUCAAUUCAUAUCUCUGUGUCACAUGUUUGGCAAUUCUCACAAUAUUUCACACUUAUUACUAUACUUGGUAUGGUGAUGUGUGAUCACCAUAAGGUCAGAUAACAGCAUUUUUUAGUAAUAAAGUAUUUUUUGAUUAAGUACA